UUAUUGUAACAAAUGAAAAUGAGAAUUUAAGAUUUAUAUUCUACGUCAGAAGAUUCCAACACUUUGAUAUACUUGAAGGUUCUGAUAAUGUGUUUAAUGCUAUACAGACAUAUUGAGUUAUUUAGUUUGUAUACAGUCACUUUCCUUUCAUUGCUUUCUACUUCCUCAUAAGUAUUGAUGUGGGUGUCUGUACAUCAGUUGAUUUCUCUUUCAUGUGACGCUGACAUGAUGCUGCACAUCUUCCUCAUCUCCAUGCUGUUUCUUGAGGUUUUGCCUCAAUCAUUGUUCGAGCAGUUGUGGUUGACGACAUCUCCAUCAACAGCGCAGAAUAACUCAAAUAUAAGAUAUGAAGCACAAGACAGAUCAUCUGUUCAACCUCACUACAUCACAGAUGCAAAAAAGAGGUUUUCUCUGGAUAAGAAGCCGGAGAUUACAGUAAAUUAUGACUCUCCAAAUGGAGAAUUUAGAGUUUACUGUGAAAUACCAGGAUCAGAUAAUGCUGGUUAUACUUGUUUUCUCUUAAUUGGAGACGAAAAUAAACAAAUUCUUAAGACUUAUAAACCAUCUGGACGAACACAGUGUGUUAUUACGUUCAAGGAACAUUAUUUGCUUAAUAAACUAAUGUCAGUUAAGAGUAAAGUGAUGAGCUGCAAUUAUUCUUCUGGAACUUCAAUAUCAUCUGAACGUUCACCAUACAGUAAUAAAUACAACCUAACAGCUUUUCUACCUGUACAAGUUCAGGUAACAAGUACAACAAAAGGAUCAACAUUAUAUUCAACAUCAGUGAGUGAGGAGACUACUAAACAAAACCCAACAACACCAGACAAUUCCAUCUUUACCAACAAUACUAUGUUCAUAAGCAUUUCAACCAUUCAGAAUAUCACAGCCACAAAGUCUAGCAUGUGGUCUGACAGCACAAUAAACUCUACAUCGGAAACGGCUCAAUCUUCACAACCUCUAAACAUCACAAUGAACAUGACAGUGGUUGUUAAUGAUUCAUCUGAUGCACACAGAACACCAGCAACAAAAUCGUGGAUAAUCAUGAUACUGACAGCCACCGGUGGAGGAAUUGUGCUGAGUGGAUUGUUGGGAAUCUGUCUCUUCUGCAUGAGACAGAAACCAAGGAAGAUGAGUAUGAAACCCUCAAAACCAGAGCAAUAUUCGGUGCCAGAUGAUAAUGAUGACAACAAGGAAUGUUCUGAAGAAAAUGAGGACAAACUGUGCCAUGUUUACUAUACCAUUUCUGAAGUCCCGGCAGACACUGAUAAGUUAUACAGUCUGGCACAGAUGCCAAAUCAACCUCUGACUUUUUAAUGUAUACAUAAUAUCAUUCUAAUUAAACUUAUUGUCAUAUAAAGAGAUUGUGUUUCACUUCCAAUCAAUCUUAUAGGGAAAUUACCAACCUACGUCACAUGGGUUCUACCACGCAUACCAGUUGCAAAAA
rnacentral:lncRNA from 1 species